GAUGAACGCUGGCGGCGUGCCUAAUACAUGCAAGUCGAGCGAACGGACGAGAAGCUUGCUUCUCUGAUGUUAGCGGCGGACGGGUGAGUAACACGUGGAUAACCUACCUAUAAGACUGGGAUAACUUCGGGAAACCGGAGCUAAUACCGGAUAAUAUUUUGAACCGCAUGGCUCAAAAGUGAAAGACGGUCUUGCUGUCACUUAUAGAUGGAUCCGCGCUGCAUUAGCUAGUUGGUAAGGUAACGGCUUACCAAGGCAACGAUGCAUAGCCGACCUGUGAGACUGAUACACCCGUCCGUAACUUAGCCUGCGUCCUGACUCCUAGGGGAGGCAGCAGUAGGUAAACUGCCCUGAUCAGCCGUAGUCUGACGAAGUAACGCCGCGUGAUCAACAGACGUAUUCGCAUCGUGAGCCGCGGUUAUUUGGUAAUAACAUAUGUAUAAUUAACACUGCUGAUCUUGAUCGUUCCUAGUCUAAUGCGCAUAGCGAGCUUCAGG
rnacentral:rRNA from 1 species